rnacentral:tRNA from 1 species
GCGGAGAUAGCUCAGUGGCAGAGCAUCGCCUUGCCGAGGCGAGGGCUGCGGGCUCGAAUCCCGUCCUCCGCU